AGAGUUUGAUCCUGGCUCAGAAUCAACGCUGGCGGCGUGCCUAACACAUGCAAGUCGAACGAGAAAGUGGAGCAAUCCAUGAGUAAAGUGGCGCACGGGUGAGUAACACGUAAGUAACCUUCCUCAAAAUCUGGAAUAACCCUGCCAACGCGGGGCUAAUACCUGAUACGAUCAAGUCAUCGCAUGGUGGUUUGAUCAAAGGUGCCCUCUAUUUAUAAGGUACCGUUUAGAGAUGGACUUGCGCACUAUUAGCUAGUUGGUGAGGUAAUGGCUCACCAAGGCUGUGAUGGUUAGCCGGCCUGAGAGGAUGAUCGGCCACAUUGGGACUGAGAUACGGCCCAGACUCCUACGGGAGGCAGCAGUAGGGAAUUUUGCACAAUGGACGCAAGUCUGAUGCAGCAACGCCGCGUGAGUGAUGAAGGUCUUCGGAUUGUAAAGCUCUGUUGAGUGGGAAGAAACGGUAUAUGGCUAAUAUCCAUAUAUUCUGACGGUACCAUUCGAGGAAGCACCGGCUAACUACGUGCCAGCAGCCGCGGUAAUACGUAGGGUGCGAGCGUUGUUCGGAGUCACUGGGCGUAAAGGGAGAGUAGGCGGGAAGAUAAGUUAGAAGUUUAAUAUAUAGGCUCAACCUGUAAUCUGCUUCUAAUACUGUUUUUCUUGAGUAUGGGAGAGGAUGAUGGAAUUCCAGGUGUAGCGGUGGAAUGCGUAGAUAUCUGGAAGAACACCAGUCGCGAAGGCGGUCAUC
rnacentral:rRNA from 1 species